rnacentral:rRNA from 1 species
GCAUAACGCGAAGAACCUUACCAGGUCUUGACAUCCUCUGACACUCCUAGAGAUAGGACGUUCCCCUUCGGGGGACAGAGUGACAGGUGGUGCAUGGUUGUCGUCAGCUCGUGUCGUGAGAUGUUGGGUUAAGUCCCGCAGCGAGCGCAACCCUUGAUCUUAGUUGCCAGCAUUCAGUUGGGCACUCUAAGGUGACUGCCGGUGACAAACCGGAGGAAGGUGGGGAUGACGUCAAAUCAUCAUGCCCCUUAUGACCUGGGCUACACACGUGCUACAAUGGAUGGUACAAAGGGUCGCAAAACCGCGAGGUCGAGCCAAUCCCAUAAAACCAUUCUCAGUUCGGAUUGUGGGCUGCAACUCGCCUACAUGAAGCUGGAAUCGCUAGUAAUCGCGGAUCAGCAUGCCGCGGUGAAUACGUUCCCGGGUCUUGUACACACCG